rnacentral:rRNA from 1 species
GAUGAACGCUGGCGGUAUGCCUAACACAUGCAAGUCGAACGGGCUUUUCGGAGCUAGUGGCGGACGGGUGAGUAACGCGUGAGAAUCUGCCUUCAGGAUGGGGAUAACAGGGAGAAAUCGCUGCUAAAACCCAAUGUGCCGAAAGGUGAAAUACUUGUAGCCAGAAGAGGAGCUCGCGUCCGAUUAGUUAGUUGGUGGGGUAAGAGCCUACCAAGGCAGCGAUCGGUAGCUGGUCUGAGAGGAUGAGCAGCCGCACUGGGACUGAGACACGGCCCAGACUCCUACGGGAGGCAGCAGUGGGGAAUUUUCCGCAAUGGGCGAAAGCCUGACGGAGCAAUACCGCAUGAGGGAGGAAGGCUUUUGGGUUGUAAACCUCUUUUGUUAAGGAAGAAGAAAGUGACGGUACUUAAAGAAUAAGCAUCGGCUAACUCCGUGCCAGCAGCCGCCGUAA